CUCCUGUGUGGAGCUGCAGGAGCGUUCAGAGGAACAAGGAGCCAACAGGGCGUCAGUCUUCUCUUCUUCAGCUGCCAGAAGACGAAUGUGUCGAGCUUUGUGACGCUGACAAGAACAAACUGAACAUUCAGUGUUUCUCACGGUUUUACAUAAAGAUGGUGAGGCAGCCCACACCGAGAGAGACCGAGUGUUUGUACUGCAGUAAAGCAGAGGUCGCACGGCCGCAGCGAGGCCCACGCAGGCCCUUCAACACGUGCACGUGGAGGCUUCAUCCCCUGAGUUCCUGCUCUGAGGUGGAACUGAAGGAUGAGCCCGGGUUAUUUUUGACAGCCAAUUAAAACGGAGGUGCAGCGGCCAAGAGGACGAGCUCAGAUUGAGUCCUUUCCCUAAAAAAGAUCCACACAGACACAGUGUUUUAAGACAAAUAACCUGCUUUAAGUCGCCGUUUGUUUCUGCGAGCGUUUACACAGAAAACUGUCAGUUUUCUUAGAAAUGAAUAAACUGCUGAAGAAACGGAAGAAAAAUAAAAAGAAUCUCUGAAUCUGUUGAUGUCAUUUCAUCUGCCUGAAAGUCCAACGAAGGAACACACACAGACACACACACUCACGCACACACACACAAAUUCACACACACACUAACAAACA